UACGUAGGUGACAAGCGUUUGUCCGGAUUUACUGGGCGUAAAGAGCGCGCAGGCGGUCGUUCAAGUCGAGUGUGAAAGCCCCGGCUCAACUGGGGAGGGUCACUCGAUACUGAUCGACUCGAAGGCAGGAGAGGGUAGUGGAAUUCCCGGUGUAGUGGUGAAAUGCGUAGAUAUCGGGAGGAACACCAGUGGCGAAGGCGACUACCUGGCCUGUUCUUGACGCUGAGGCGCGAAAAGCUAGGGGAGCAACGGGG
rnacentral:rRNA from 1 species